AGUGAACGCUGGCGGUAGGCCUAACACAUGCAAGUCGAACGGCAGCACAGUAAGAGCUUGCUCUUACGGGUGGCGAGUGGCGGACGGGUGAGGAAUACAUCGGAAUCUACUUUUUCGUGGGGGAUAACGUAGGGAAACUUACGCUAAUACCGCAUACGACCUACGGGUGAAAGCAGGGGAUCUUCGGACCUUGCGCGAUUGAAUGAGCCGAUGUCGGAUUAGCUAGUUGGCGGGGUAAAGGCCCACCAAGGCGACGAUCCGUAGCUGGUCUGAGAGGAUGAUCAGCCACACUGGAACUGAGACACGGUCCAGACUCCUGCGGGAGGCAGCAGUGGGGAAUAUUGGACAAUGGGGGAAAGCCUGAUCCAGCCAUACCGCGUGGGUGAAGAAGGCCCUCGGGUUGUAAAGCCCUUUUGUUGGGAAAGAAAAGCAGCAGGUUAACACCCCGCUGUUCUGACGGUACCCAAAGAAUAAGCACCGGCUAACUUCGUG
rnacentral:rRNA from 1 species